AAGGGUGGCGCGCACGCACGUGGCGGAAGAUCAUUAGAACACAACACAUUCACGUGGCGCCAACAGGCGUGGGAGUUGGGGACAUCAUUUCCCGUUGAAGAGGUAUCAGAGUGAUAUACAGAUUCCAUGAUAGACAAAGU
ensembl:ncRNA D2023.12 ncRNA